CGGUAGGUGGACACAAAAGCAGGAGCACAAAAGAGGAGGCAAAGUGAGUACAACGUUUAUUUACAGAAAGAGGAAUAAUGCAGUGUAUAUCGAUAAGGGCGCGGGCCUGUUGGCAGGUGGCGAUGGGCAGAUUCCAUAUCGGGCAGCACCAAAACAGGAAAGUGACGGCAGUGAAUCCUCCAGUGAACAAUACCGCAGCGGAAAUCCCAAACUCCCGCGAGGUUAACGCCAAUACACACAAUUCCACGAGUGGCAAAAAUACGGAUAACAAGCUGAGAUGGCCAAGCAAAUCGCUGAAACCACUGGUUUAUCGAUGCAAAUGGGCAUUAACGCGCUGGCGGCUGCCAUCUUAAAUACCCUCUCAGCCUGAAGAGACGACCACUGGCAGGCUGAAAAAUAUUCCAAGGGCUAAUAUUUACAGGAGACAAGCAUCAUCAAACCAGGAACUAGACUUGUGAAUGACCUCGGGAAAAGAGGAACACAUCAAUUAUCAGCUGCUGUGGAGGAAACAGAGGUACCCACGCACAACCUACACUAACACGGAGAGACCAUGUAAACUCACCACACACUGAAAGAUGGAGCCGGGAUCUACUAACUCCUGCUGCUAAACCACCUCCAGCUGAUGUCAGGGGCGACGCCUGCUGCAACUCACCUAUCAGUGCUGCUGCUGCAUGUGCUGCUCCUCCGCUGCCACCUCCUGCUCUUUUAACCACACCAGAAGUUCUUUGGGAGUCUGGUGACUGUCAUGAAUUCUGACUCAAGGCGACCUUCAUUUUCAGAAACAGACAGUGUCCUUCCCCAAUGUCAGACCAACGUUGACUACAUCUUUUCCUCCGUCUCAGAUAAAGCAGUGGGCAAACGGCGAGAGCUGAGCUUCAUCCAAUCAGAGAGUAGCAGAGUAACCAAUGAACACCGGGAAAGAAGACCGGAGUUUGACGAACUUCACAGUGCCUAGCCACCAGUGUCGUUGUGUGCACCUGCUAGCUUGAAGCUAAAAAAAAGAAGAAGAACAAGAACAAGAACAAGAACAAUUGGCUUGCCAUCGUUGUACUGAGGGAUCCUGCUUUUCUUCAAGAAGGUUCAUGAGUGUGGAUGCAACUGUGGUAAAUGACAACAUCCCCUCACUCAUUGCUGCCAUGUCCAUGAUGUUAAGGGCGAUGACACGUGGGCAGGAGAAAUGGGUUCCUCAGGCUCAGAGUGGGUGGAUGGCAGUUCCUCAGCAGGCACCCUUAUGUUCGGCUCACUCUUAAAGGCUUUUGUCGCAUUCUACAUCUCCCGACUCUCAACUUGUCCAUUGCCUUAGGAAGGAAAACGAGCCUCAGAGCUGGUUCGUGACACAACAUCUAACCUGUCUCACUGAACUUAUACAUACUGGCACGACCCUUCUACUCUGCCACUCCUAACUUCCUUCUACAGUGCCUGUGACUUUCAAGCUCCUGGACUUUAAGACUUGUUCUUCACUGCCCUCUUCUGGAUGAGUUCCUGGACUUCUGUAUUUCACCACCACCUUCCUUGUAAGCUGUGCUCUGACCAAACCUCACACUUAAAACAGAUUUGCCGUGGAUCUUCUCACAGUUUGGACAGUGAUAUAUGUCAAUAUCUGGAGCAUCGUCUUCAUCCACUCCAACACAGCUGAAACAAAAGAAAACAGUUACAUGACCGACAGCUCUUGCUGGCCAUAUACUUCCUUAAAUACUCAGACCUGAAGACAUGUUCAGAUCCAGCGACCAGAUACUCCAUUACAUACCUGGUCAUAAUGUGCGUAAACUAACCUUUUGUUUUGAUCAUUCUUUUAAUUCCUUGUACACAUCUGGGGUGCCUGUCUUUUAAAAGUUUUGCCAAGUUGGAAGUGUUUCCACACUUGGCAGGACUGUGUUGAAGCACCGUAUGCACAGUGACCGUAGUAAACCCUGAGAGCACGUGCACUUGGUUUAUCAAUGGGUUCAAGCGUAGUUAAAGUCGCUGUAGCUGCCAUUCUCUCCUAUCCCUCUCUCUCUCUCUCUCUCUCUCUCUCUCUCUGUCGCCUUUCUUCCCUCACUCACUGCUGCUCCUCUGCUGAGGGGCUAAUAAAUUGUCUCGAAUGUCAAAUUCAUAUGAUGCAACAAUGCAAACGAUUUAGAAGCAGUACAGGUGUUUUCUGUGCUCAUUUUACCAGCUCAAGACUUGCUUACAGCACUGAAUGUUUCAUGACAUCAAAAUAUAAUAUAUAUUUGAGACUUUGAGUCAAACUAUCUUAUUUUUCUUUGUCUAUCUAAAAAAUGUAUAUCCCUCUGUUCCAAUUGUAGUAACCCAAUGUGUUACAUAGUUAAAAGGCUUGUUCCAGGAUCAACAGGCAGCAGACUAACUAAGACCAUGUAAAAGAAAUGUGCAGUAGAAGUGCCAGAUGGGUUUAGGGUGGAAAUGGGUAUAAGUCAUAAACAAUCUCUACGCAAGAAGUACUGUAGUGCACAUGUUGACAGAUGAUGUCAGAAAGGGUUAUGCUGCAAGAUGUUAACUCAGUAAAGUAUGGCAGCUGGAGAGGUCUGUAAGACAGAAUUAUAUAUGCUUGGUGUAGACUUUAGGCUUUAAAGGCAAGUCUGAAACAUCUGUGACAUGUGCUUCGUACAGUAGAGGUGGCUGACGUAACAUCUUAAACUACAGCAAUAAUCAAACAAAUAAUAGUUGAACACCUAAUGAGACUGAAAAACGAGACAUUGAUUAACAGUACUAAGCUCCUCCAAAAUGAAAAAAACUCCUGCAGGAUGAGUGCAUUUUUGUUUUGCAUAAACUGAGAAAUUGCCCUUUUGUGUAGCAACUAGGUAUGUAACGAUGUGUCGUGAAUCGGUUAAAAACUCGAUACAAAUCUGUGACAAUUUGUAUCAAUUGAAAUAAAAACUGUAUUGCGCAUCAAGGAGUAGGCUGUGUCUCAAGAAAUCAUUGGUCAUACCAUGUGACUACACCCUCUAGUACAGUAGGUGCCUGAGUGACAAACAGAACGUGGGAAGAAGUUCUUCCACUGAGACCAACAGUGUUUCUGUAAAGAAAUGAACUCUCUCCAGUUAAUAUAUU